AAAGCCACAGGCGGCAGGCAGGAGAUUAAGAGCUGCUGUUUUUAUCGCUGUUCUCACAGAGCCGCCUGGAACGGGGGCGUUAGCAAGCUGGGCGUGGGGGGCGGGGCGUGCGGGGGCACUGGGAGGAUGCUGGCGCCACCCGGCCCUGCAGCCCCGCGGGUCCCUGCCUGGAGCCACUUGUGGGCAGCUGUGACGAGGAGUAAAAGACAAAAAUGAUCCUGGAUGGUGUGCAGGGGCUCGAGUGGCGAUGUGAAGGUGCAGGAGUAUUAAAUGGGACUGUGAUGGCAUUAAAGGCAGGAACCUUCCCCGUGCGCUCACCAUGUUCCCGCCCUCGAUGAAAUGUUUGUCACCCAUUACCCUCAUUGAUCCUCGCGACAAUGAGCUGCUUGCUUAAAGGGCCCUGGCUGAUUGUUCACGUGACAGCAUUCCAUUACGAAACUCUCUGCAUCGCUGUCCUGCGGGGAGAGACAUUUCUGCAAUUUGCCAGGGACCCUGGCAACGAAAUACUCACUCAGACUCACUGUUCUUUCUGGUGGAGAUGUCUCCUGUUUGACCUGCAUCUAAACGGUGGAUCCUGUCAGGAGGAAGCGCGUGGAUCUGUGAGGGUUCCUGCUCUUCUGUCUUAGACCAUCUGCUCUGGGUGAAGAGAGCAGAGUCUGCAUUCCCUCCAGGGUCCCCCUUGGAGACGCAGAGGCAGAGAAGGACGUCUCCUCUGGGCUGGUCCUUCGGGAGAACGGGGAGGAACUGCGUCCCUGGAAAGUUUCCUGCUUCCACCUUCGCCCAGCCUGCCCUUGAGGUGGGAGAGGCGGGCGCUGUUGCAGCUUCCAAAGGACCAGAGAUGGCAGAUUUGUACCUUGAAGCUGGCUUGGGCUCCGUCCCCUUGGCCAAGUUGCUUUUCAUUUCUGGUUUCCACAUCUGUAAGAAAAAGCAUCUGAAACUUGGAAAUAAGGCAAAAGGAUGACCAUGUGUCCUUUGAAUGCCAUACCAGAGCACUGACUGAGAGGCCCGCCCAAGGGUUAUCUAAUUCUUGAGGGCGCAGGCCAAAUCUGGCUGCCGCCUGUUUUUGUAAAUAAAGUCCUGUUGGCACACAGCCACGCCCAUUCAUUUACAUAUUGUCUAUGCUGCUUCCACUUUACAACAAGGCCGAGUCCAGUUGUUGCAACAAAGGCCAGAUGGCCCACAAAGCUGAAAAUUAUUUACCGUCUGCCCCUUUUAUAGAGGUUUGCUGACCCCUACUCUAGGGGAUCGUAGCAUUGUUGGAUUUACUAUUUAUUACUCAUUCAGGCCCAGACACUGGAAAGCAUGAUGCUAAUUUGUGGAAGAUUGAUAACUUGCAAAUGAUUUUGGUCCAGCAGUCAUGAAAAUGAUUUCUGUGCCGUAUAAAAGAUACCCCCAAAGAAUACGAUUUUAUUGACCUGUAGGAGGACAUUCAUCAUUUCUGUGUCCAACUUGGCAAUCUUAUUCCAGCAUUCUUUCUGUUCUCCACUGUAUUGACUUUGGUCUCUCCCAUAAGCCUUUGAACCAGCUUUCCUAUCCUGUUGGCUUCCUCAUUAAUAAAUUAAUAAAUAAUAAUAAUACAAAAAGGUUAAA
ensembl:lncRNA